rnacentral:rRNA from 1 species
ACUCCUGCGGGAGGCAGCAGUGGGGAAUAUUGGACAAUGGGCGCAAGCCUGAUCCAGCCAUGCCGCGUGAGUGAUGAAGGCCCUAGGGUUGUAAAGCUCUUUCACCGGAGAAGAUAAUGACGGUAUCCGGAGAAGAAGCCCCGGCUAACUUCGUGCCAGCAGCCGCGGUAAUACGAAGGGGGCUAGCGUUGUUCGGAAUUACUGGGCGUAAAGCGCACGUAGGCGGAUCGAUCAGUCAGGGGUGAAAUCCCAGGGCUCAACCCUGGAACUGCCUUUGAUACUGUCGAUCUGGAGUAUGGAAGAGGUGAGUGGAAUUCCGAGUGUAGAGGUGAAAUUCGUAGAUAUUCGGAGGAACACCAGUGGCGAAGGCGGCUCACUGGUCCAUUACUGACGCUGAGGUGCGAAAGCGUGGGGAGCAAACAGGAUUAGAUACCCGUGUAGUCCCAU